GGUUAACGCAGACAGACGCAUUUUGCCGGAAAACGAAUCUGACAUGCCACCUCGAGAUUUUAACCAAGGAAAGACAACUUGAUGUGCUUUGAUUUGAGGGGUCACUCAAUGCUGAACGAAAAUUAGGGACAUUGCUAUGUGAAGAAACGUUAACAUUGCCGCCUAUGGGAAAACAAUUAGUGGGCUGUACCCAAUAUGAGGAGCCUAUUGGAUCAUGGUGAUACAGGACAAUGUCGAGGUUCAUGCAGAUGUGUUUAAAACUAUCAGUCAGUAAAAACAAACUCAUUUGAACACAUCUUGAGUCUUCACAUGUAAAAUGAUGGCAGUACUUUUAAUAUAGGUUAACGCAGACAGACGCAUUUUGCCGGAAAACGAAUCUGACAUGCCACCUCGAGAUUUUAACCAAGGAAAGACAACUUGAUGUGCUUUGAUUUGAGGGGUCACUCAAUGCUGAACGAAAAUUAGGGACAUUGCUAUGUGAAGAAACGUUAACAUUGCCGCCUAUGGGAAAACAAUUAGUGGGCUG